rnacentral:misc_RNA from 1 species
AAGUCGUAACAAGGUCUCCGUAGGUGAACCUGCGGAGGGAUCAUUAAAGAGAUAGGGUUCUUUCUGAGCCCGACCUCCAACCCUUUGUCUACCAAACCUCUGUUGCCUCGGCGGGUCGCCGGCGCCUGUCACCAGGUGCCGCCGUCGGCCUCCGCGCUCUCGAGUGCCCGCCGCAGGAUCAUAUAAACUCUUUGUUAAACAAGUAUAAUCUGAGCGGAAAUUUAAUGCUUCAAUUAAAA